AUCUUUCCCGAGCGCAUCAAUCAUUUUUUCUCUUGCUGCUUUCUCUUUCCUUCCGUUGUCGUGGGAAGGACGCUAUGCACGUAUCUUCCUUGUUCCUCGUUUCGAGCCAGACAAAUCCCGAGUGGAUAAAUUUGUAAUUUUUUUUUCUUCACUUACGAACGUGCAAGAUAUGCACAUACGACCUCGUUUACGCACUAUGACGCUCCGUACGAACCAUCACGUUCGUGACAUCACAAAAUAAAUGAGUUUCUACGUAGUGCGUGCUUCAAAAUGAAAAUUAAUCAGGGAAUGAAAUCAAUUUCUCGUAGCAGCGUAUUUUGACGGGGACAAUAGGAGUUAUCUCGCUUCGCGUUCGUACUGAAACGUUAAGGUCUGGUAAAAAGUCGCAACAUUUCUGUCGACAUGAAACGAAAGAUAAUGCGAUUAAACGGGGAAGGAAUGACCGAAAUGUUAAUCUUAAAUGAAUUCCGAGUUUACGCGUAUCGAUGGGAUUUGCAUCGGAAUCUAACACGCGUUCGGAUAUCUUUUAAUCGCUAGGAGGUACGCUAUGUAAAAUGGCUGAGACAAUCGAAACAAUGUCACCUUAGUAAAAUCUCAUGAAAUGUUACGAGAAAUCUGGACUGUUGCCUAUGACAUCGAUAGAGAAAGUGCCGAAAAAAUUAUCACCGUUUCUGGCCAACGAUCCUUCCGAGACGAUUAUGAUAUCGUAACGUCAUAAAUAUGGGAAUCGUUUAAUAUUUUCCUAGAAACUUCUGUUUCAUCCAAAAAUACAAAUAACAUCUGUUUUAUUUUCAUAAAUAAAUAUUUAUAAAUUUGUACAA